GUGAUUUGUUUAUGUUGAUGCGAUUGACUUUAUAUCAAUUGUGAUGAAAGUGCGGUAAAAAGGGAUUGCAAACAAAUUUCUUUUUGUUGUUGCGAAAGGAGGAAGAAGAAUGGUUCGGGUUGUUUCGAGGUGAAGUUGUGUACGUAUGAAAUCAAUCAUGGCGGCCAAUAUGGCGACGAGAAAACUGUAAUUCAGCCAAAAUGUUAAACUUUUAUUUAAAAACUGUUAACUUUAGUGACUGUUAAAUCAAAUAAAAAGUGAUUUUUAAAAAAAGUGAAAGAAUAUGCACAUGGAGAGGAUUUUAAUGAAUGAUGUCAAAUGAAAGAAGACGCCGGCAUGGAUUUAUCUCUCUUAGGAUUACGGAUUGUACGGAACCCUUUAGGGUUCUUCUUUAUGACGAUUUUAAUCCUUUUGUCAAUAAUUUGUUCAACAAGCGCAGAAAGCAGAGUC